UCUAAAAUUUGCCUUUUGAAUGAAAUGGUCUAUUACCUUAUUUGAAAGGGUCAUGAAUAUUAAUGUUGAGCUCUGCUCUGAUUGGCUGUUUCUCAGAGCAGCUCCUUCAGUCGUUAUGUGUGUUUGUAAACAUAUCUUAUGUUUGAGUCUGUAUCAGAUGAAAAUACUGAUUUUUAAGGAAUAAUUAAUUGUUUGUAGAUUGUUAAUGGACGUUUUUGAGUGCUGUUAAGUAAUAGAGAACAUACUUGAAAGGCACACUGAGCAGACGUAGCCGAUUUCAAUGAGGUUUCGGUGGCAGAAGCAAGCGGCCCGGUAGUCCACGUGCACAGGAGGCGGCAAUAACAGCUGGGAACGCUGGUCUGCAUCUGGUAAAAAAACCCAC